rnacentral:rRNA from 1 species
AUUGAACGCUGGCGGCAUGCCUUACACAUGCAAGUCGAACGGCAGCACGGGGGCAACCCUGGUGGCGAGUGGCGAACGGGUGAGUAAUACAUCGGAAUGUACCCAGUAGUGGGGGAUAACUAGUCGAAAGAUUAGCUAAUACCGCAUACGCACUAUGGUGGAAAGCGGGGGAUCGCAAGACCUCGCGCUAUUGGAGCAGCCGAUGUCCGAUUAGGUAGUUGGUGAGGUAAAGGCUCACCAAGGCGACGAUCUGUAGCGGGUCUGAGAGGGUGACCGGCCACACUGGGACUGAGACAUGGUCCAGACUCCUACGGGAGGCAGCAGUGGGGAAUUUUGGACAAUGGGCGCAAGCCUGAUCCAGCCAUGCCGCGUGCGGG